rnacentral:tRNA from 1 species
UAACUUCCAGGUGGGCGAGGUUGCCCUGCGCCGUUUCGAGGGCGGCGCGGGCCUGGUCGAUCUGUUCCGGGCGGGUGCCGUUGG